rnacentral:rRNA from 1 species
CAGUAGCCGCGGGAAUACGGAGGGGGCUAGCGUUGUUCGGAAUUGCUGGGCGUAAAGCGCACGUAGGCGGCUUGGUAAGUUAGAGGUGAAAGCCUGGAGCUCAACUCCAGAAUUGCCUUUAAGACUGCCGAGCUAGCAGGUGAGAGAGGUAAGUGGAAUUCCGAGUGUAGAGGUGAAAUUCGUAGAUAUUCGGAAGAACACCAGUGGCGAAGGCGGCUUACUGGCUCAUACUGGAUGCUGAGGUGCGAAAGCGUGGGGAGCAAACAGGAUUAGAUACCCCGGUAGUCCCUGUCUCUUAUAU